UCAGGACUGUAGCAACGAGUGUUCACCGAACUGUGACGACAUCUGUGACCAGGCUACAGGGGAAUGUAAAGUUUGCAAGAAAGGUUUCACCAGCAUAUCUCGCAAAGAACCAUUUUGCCAGCUAGAAUGUCCACCAAUGACCUUUGGACUCAAUUGUGAAGGUCUGUGCAUGGACAAAUGUGGAGCAGAAUGUUUGGAAAAGGUGGAAGGUACCUGUCGAGGUUCGAAAGUAGUUUUAAAGAUGUUAGGCGGGAUGGUCAUCGUCUCGAUCUGCUUGGCUUUGCUUUACUACUUCAGCCGAAGAGGCAAAGAGAAAAAUCAUGCAGCUAGAAGCGUGUCAGCUUCAACGUCCUAUGACUAUCAAAG
rnacentral:sRNA from 1 species